rnacentral:rRNA from 1 species
AGUGAACGCUGGCGGCAGGCCUAACACAUGCAAGUCGAGCGGCAGCGCGGGGGCAACCCUGGCGGCGAGCGGCGGACGGGUGAGGAAUACAUCGGAAUCUACCCAGUCGUGGGGGAUAACGUAGGGAAACUUACGCUAAUACCGCAUACGACCUGAGGGUGAAAGCAGGGGACCGCAAGGCCUUGCGCGAUUGGAUGAGCCGAUGUCCGAUUAGCUAGUUGGUGAGGUAAAGGCUCACCAAGGCGACGAUCGGUAGCUGGUCUGAGAGGAUGAUCAGCCACACUGGAACUGAGACACGGUCCAGACUCCUACGGGAGGCAGCAGUGGGGAACUAUUGGACAAUGGGCGCAAGCCUGAUCCAGCCAUGCCGCGUGUGUGAAGAAGGCCUCGGGUUGUAAAGCACUUUUGUUGGGGAAGAAAUCUUCCGACCUAAUACGUCGGGAGGCUGACGGUACCCCAAAGAAUAAGCACCGGCUAACUUCGUGCCAGCAGCCGCGGUAAUACGAAGGGUGCAAGCGUUACUCGGAAUUACUGGGCGUAAAGCGUGCGUAGGUGGUUCGUUAAGUCUGCCGUGAAAGCCCCCGGGCUCAACCUGGGAAUGGCGGUGGAUACUGGCCGGACUAGAGUGCGGUAGAGGGUGGUGGAAUUCCCCGGUGUAGCAGUGAAAUGCGUAGAGAUCGGGAGGAACAUCUGUGGCGAAGGCGGCCACCUGGACCAGCACUGACACUGAGGCACGAAAGCGUGGGGGAGCAAACAGGAUUAGAUACCCUGGUAG